UACGGAGGAGGCAAGCGUUAUCCGGAAUAAUUGGGCGUAAAGCGUCCGUAGAUGGUUUUGUCAGUCUGCUGUCAAAGCACAGGGCUUAACCCUGUAAAGGCAGUGGAAACUACAAGACUAGAGUGCAGUAGGGGCAGAGGGAAUUCCCAGUGUAGCGGUGAAAUGCGUAGAGAUUGGGAAGAACAUCCGUGGCGAAAGCGCUCUGCUGGACUGCAACUGACAUUGAGGGACGAAAGCUAGGGGAGCGAAUGGG
rnacentral:rRNA from 1 species